GGUUUCCACUUCCAUCCAGGGUCAGUAGCUUGAACUUUACCAAGAAUGGUGAGAGAGAAAGAAAUGUCCAGGGAACAGAAGAAUAUAAGCCAUGGAGAGGCAAGGAUCAAAUUUUGGCUGGAGGGAGCAGCAAAGAGUCAACAGGGCCCCAAAUCUUUGGGUGGUUGUUUCUGCCAGCAGAUCUCCAUGAGACAAUGACUGAAACAGGAAGAGCUGGAGGGAGGUGAUGACAGAAUCUCACUACACGGCCCUGGGUAUCCUGGAACUCACUACGUAGACCAGACCAGCCUUGAACUCACAGAGAUCCAUACCUGCCUCUGCCAAGUGUUGGAAUUAAAGGUGUGAGCCACACCAUGCCCAGCUCAUCGAUUAACCAGGAAAUGAACUCUUAUCCAGCUUUCCUCACGGAGAACUCAGCAGACUGCAAAUACAUAAGGAAGCUCUAGGCAAAGGCUUUGGCUAUUCCAGAGGCUAGCCAGCCCUGGGGGCAGCAGCCCAGCAAGCAUUCUUGCCUGAUGCAGUAGAAGGGCCAGGGCGCACUGAGCAUGGUGCUGGUAUUUGCAGACUGUCCUUGGUACAGCUUAGGUUUUUAUUGCUUUGCUGGAAAAUUCCCAGGUGCCAGGUGAGCCUGAGAGUCACCUGCAGUGGCUGUGGUCUUUGGGAUCUUGAGUGAGGGUAGGAAGGAGUCCUAGGCUGAACUCCAAGUUACUCACCAGAUUC